GUCUCUCUGUGCCCCUCCUGAAGCUGGGGACUUAGCCAUCAUUGCUGUUAAUACAGGCAUCUCUUUUGGGGCUGUGAGGAAAGCAGUAUCUAAACUUAAAGACCAUAUUGAGGACUUCUGCAAGGGGGAAUUAGUCAAAAUAACCACAACAGUGAAUGAAGUUGCAGUUUACAGUCUGUGGCCUCCAGAGACAAGGAACAGAGCUGAGUUUUUAAAAUAUUCCUGUCAGCUCACACUGAAUCCCAACACAGCAUAUAGAAACCUCUGUUUGUCUGAAGGGAACAGAAAGGUGACUGUGGUGGAAUUUUCUGCAUACAACCGAGCAGGCA